UAAUACGUAGGGGGCAAGCGUUGUCCGGAUUUAUUGGGCGUAAAGCGUCCGCAGGUGGUCAACCAAGUUUGGGGUGACAGUUCCCGGCUCAACUGGGAAAGUGCUUCGAAAACUGGCUGACUUGAGGGCUUGAGAGGAAAGCGGAAUUCCGGGUGGAGUGGUGAAAUGCGUAGAUAUCCGGAGGAACACCAAUGGCGUAGGCAGCUUUCUGGCAAGUACCUGACACUGAUGGACGAAAGCUAGGGGAGCAAACGGGAUUAGAUACCCCGGUAGUCCUAGCCGUAAACGAUGACCACUAGACGUGGGGGGUAUCGACCCCCUCUGUGUCGCAGUUAACACAUUAAGUGGUCCGCCUGGGGAGUACGGUCGCAAGAUUA
rnacentral:rRNA from 1 species